ACAGAAGUAAAAGUGCCGAGUCCUAACCACUGGACCGCCAGGUAUCCUAGACAUGUUUUCUCACGGCUGGCAGAGACCUACCUCCUGUUUUUUAACAUCUGCAUAAUAAUUCAGUUGUUCAUGUGAAACUUCAAAACUACAAUGAAAGCAUUCACUUGAAAGCCA